UAUUUUUUUAAAUUUCUAAUAGCAAAAUAGAUGAAGCCCACUCAGAUGAACUAUUUCCUAGAGCACAUCGAACAAGAACAACUCUUUCCACUCAAAAAUACUCUCUCAGCUAUCAAAGAAUACUCCCCCAAGCAAAUCUGAAGAUACCCAAAUUGCAAGGACUCGGCAAAUAGAUCGACGGUCUCUUAAUUCCAAUAAAUAAAUUGUAAGGACUCAGCAAAUAGAGGACUCAACAAGUAGUACCUGACGAGACUCCCAUCCAGAUAUUCCGGUGCCUUAGCUCCUGGGUACCAUAACGGUCUGGCCGGGAUUUGCUUUUUCGGAGCCUUUUUAGGCGUAGCUUUUUUGGUACCGAAACUGAAUCUGGCUUGGACUUUGCCAUCGGAGACUCUUAAUUUUUCCGUAACUUCAAAGUAGGUGAAGCAAUUUUGGUAAUAGUAGGGGUUGGAGAAGCUACAAAUUUGGUGCAAUAAGGGUAGAGACUUUAGCUCCUCAUCUUAAAGUUAUUAUUGAAAAAGCCAAAUUUUUGUCAAAGGUCAGUACUACUGUCUGCUUUUCUAAGUAGAAGCACUAAAAAAUUUCUUCAUUUUCAUUAGUAAAUGUAUUUAAAUGGUUUGGAUCCGAAUAAAUUUGAAUGAUUUACUGCUUUUUUAUUUUGUUUUUUUGUUGGUUUCUUCUUGUUUGUUCAAUUUUAUAUCUCUAAAUAGUAAUACAAUUGCUGGAUUAAUACCUAAUUUAUGGAUAUUCCUAUGUGGUAAAAGGAUUUUGGAUGCCUAAUUACUCUCCAGAUUUUUUAAUGGCUGAGAUAUAUUGUUAACAAGGACCAAAUCUAAGCUCAUGUUAAAGCAAAUUACAAAAUGUAAAGAAGCGCACGAGUGUUUGUGACUAAAAGCAAGUAUAUUCUAGCACCAUUAAGUCUCUCACAGGAGCCACUUAUUGUACGACAGGUUUUGUUUUUCAAUCUUGCCUCUCUGAUAAAAGUUUUGAUUUAUCCUAAUGAAUAACCAGUUGGUUAGAAUACUCCUCUUGCAAUCAUGUUAAUUAUAGAACUUCAACUUCUUUUAUCUAAACAGAUUAUAGAUUAAAUAAGUAAAAAAAGAAACGAAAAAUAGAUUACAGUACUGCUUUGACUAUUUAUGCUUUAUGUUUUUUCUCUAACUUCAGUGUUGUAUUGUGGACCAUCUCUUCAUAAGUGAUUUGUGGACCUGAUUAUGUUACAGAUAUGCACUAUGUGUAGUCAAAUUUCUUGUGUUACUAGACUUUAUCUCUUACUUAAAUCCUUGGACUUCAUCUCUUAGUUACAGAUAUUCCAUCUUAUGCACAAAAUUCACAUGAUACAAUUGUGGAAACAUCGAAAGAGGAGGAUGGGUUUGAUGAUACUGAUUGGGACUGGAUGGAAGCAGAUGAUUAAAUAACAAAAUUAUGAAAUUUUUUUAAGUAUAUUCUUUUUUGGGAUCUCCAACUUCCUCUUCUGGUUUAGCCGUUCUACAUUUUGAGGUAGAAUAUCAAAUUUAUGAUUCAACCAUGCUACAUUAUUGAUUCUAUAAUUUAUUUAUCCUGAUAGGUUUUGAUGAUUUUUUCUCCACUUAGAUGCACAUAAAUCUCUUCUUGUUGAUGUGUAGUGUAACUCUUCUUCUGUUUUCUUUCUGUGCAAAUCUCAAGGUAAGCUGUUAAAAAUAGCUGAAGUGGUGUCAAGUUUGUAUGGAGAGGAGGGAGUUGUUCUUGGCAUUCAUAUUUGCAGACUUAUUUGACUCUAAAAGUUGCUAAGUUAACAAAUAAAACAACCUUGAUCCCAUCUUUUAUUGGUUGUGAUAGUUUCCAUGUUAUGAGUUGAUGCUCUUUUGGCCGUCAUUCUUCCAGAUUUUCCCACUGUUUCUGCCUUAGGUUGCAAGAUAUGCCUAUAUUCAAAAUCAUAUGCUCACAUGUUCCUGCUUCUUCAUCCUCUAUUAUCUUAACUGCUUUUAGCGUUUGUCGAAAGAGAGGAUGCAACAAAGAAUGCAUGAAAAGUUGAAUGAACAAAAGGAUGUUAUGGAAAAAAAUAUUACAAUGAACAUCAUCGCACGACUUCAGCAUCAGAACCCAGAUUUGCGACUUGAUCCUGACAUGUUAAGGUUCAGUGAACGUUCAUCUGUAGAAGCUUUCUCUGCACAACAAGUUGUUGUUCAAGUAAACAGUCAACCAUCUGCUGGUAGUAACAAUCAAGGUAGAGUAGAUCAAGAAAUGAAUGAUAAAGACAAUGAAGAACUAGAUCUUACUUGAGAUAAAUCUUGAAUUGUUACAGAUGAAUGUUCUUGGAAUCUUUUGUUACCAACAUUUUUUAAACUUAUUUACUCUCUUGAAAUAUACUAAACUGAUACACUCAGGGGUAGAACAUUUGCUUUUUGGAUAUUAUUUGCUUGAUGGAUAAUUUUAUAUUA